UAUCGUAUUCUUUGGUCGCGUGCGGGUGUGUCGCGGCCGUCGAUUUAAAUUGCGUCGGCGGCAUUGUUUAUAAAAUCUGUUCAACAUUAAGCGUCGCGUGUGUUUGUGUUAAACUUCUUACGCUAGUUGUUUGUAUGUAUCGAAAUGCCGCUAAUUCUAAAUUGCAGCUAAUUAAAUAAUCAUGAAUAUUGAGAACAUACAAUGCUAAAGUCGUGUAAAAGCAAAGCAAAAGAAACAGCUAAACGAAUGUAGGGAGAGAGGCGCACAAAGAGAGCAAACGAGAGCGAGCGUCACCUUUUCCCCCAACGAAACAAUAACAAUUACACCGACGCCGGCAUUGGCACAACAGCAAAAA